GACGAACGCUGGCGGCGUGCUUAACACAUGCAAGUCGAGCGAUGAAACUCCUUCGGGAGUGGAUUAGCGGCGGACGGGUGAGUAACACGUGGGCAACCUGCCUUAUAGAGAGGAAUAGCCAUCCGAAAGGAUGAUUAAUACCUCAUAAUAUUGUAGCUUCGCAUGGAGCAACAGUCAAAGGAGCAAUCCACUAUAAGAUGGGCCCGCGGCGCAUUAGCUAGUUGGUGAGGUAACGGCUCACCAAGGCGACGAUACGUAGCCGACCUGAGAGGGUGAUCGGCCACAUUGGGACUGAGACACGGCCCAGACUCCUACGGGAGGCAGCAGUCGGGAAUUUUGCGCAAUGGACGAAAGUCUGACGCAGCAACGCCGCGUGAGGGAUGAAGGCCUUCGGGUUGUAAACCUCUUUUGUCAGGGAAGAUGAUGACGGUACCUGGCGAAUAAGCCACGGCUAACUACGUGCCAGCAGCCGCGGUAAAAC
rnacentral:rRNA from 1 species